rnacentral:rRNA from 1 species
UCUUGGUCAUUUAGAGGAAGUAAAAGUCGUAACAAGGUUUCCGUAGGUGAACCUGCGGAAGGAUCAUUACCAAGAACCACACAGAAAAGGGAGGCAAAGGGGCCGACAGGAUUAGUAGCUUUUACGUUGUUGAACGUCCUGGCUGGACCCGGAGCCGCCCCCAUCUAAACCCUCUGCGUACCUGUCCCUUCUUGCUUCCCCCGGCAUCUCGUCGGGGGGAGGAAACAACCAAAACUCUUUGUGAAUCAAACAGCCGUCAGAAUUAUAAAACAAAAAAGUUAAAACUUUCAACAACGGAUCUCUUGGUUCCCACAUCGAUGAAGAACGCAGCGAAAUGCGAUAAGUAAUGUGAAUUGCAGAAUUCAGUGAAUCAUCGAAUCUUUGAACGCACAUUGCGCCCUCUGGUAUUCCGGGGGGCAUGCCUGUUCGAGCGUCAUAAAAACCUCCUCCCCCUUCGGGUUUUGUUACUAUCGUUGGGGGGUUUUGGCCUAAUGGGAUAGCGAUUGGCAAUUCGUUUCCCAAUGUCCUAAAUAGACGUAGACCCGCCUCCAGAUGUGACAGCACCGAGGCCAUCAACCGUGGAGUUAUGGGAUAUAUAGGCUUGCAGUAAAAUGCUCACCUCUCUCCACACGCCGAUGGCACGACAGUUGCAGUUGCGGGCGUAAAUUGGAGCCCUUUUCAGGACCCUCGUGGCCUAGCAUCCACCAUAAACAAUUUGACCUCGGAUCAGGUAGGGAUACCCGCUGAACUUAAGCAUAUCAAUAAGCGGAGGAA